GAUGGCGACCGGCGCACGGGUGAGUAACACGUAUCCAACCUGCCGAUGACUCGGGGAUAGCCUUUCGAAAGAAAGAUUAAUACCCGAUGGCAUAGUUCUUCCGCAUGGUAGAACUAUUAAAGAAUUUCGGUCAUCGAUGGGGAUGCGUUCUAUUAGGUUGUUGGCGGGGUAACGGCCCACCAAGCCUUCGAUGGAUAGGGGUUCUGAGAGGAAGGUCCCCCACAUUGGAACUGAGACACGGUCCAAACUCCUACGGGAGGCAGCAUG
rnacentral:rRNA from 1 species